AUGAACGCUGGCGGCGUGCCUAAUACAUGCAAGUCGAGCGAACGGACGAGAGGCUUGCUUCUCUGAUGUUAGCGGCGGACGGGUGAGUAACACGUGGAUAACCUACCUAUAAGACUGGGAUAACUUCGGGAAACCGGAGCUAAUACCGGAUAAUAUUUUGAACCGCAUGGGUCAAAAGUGAAAGACGGUCUUGCUGUCACUUAUAGAUGGAUCCGCGCUGCAUUAGCUAGUUGGUAAGGUAACGGCUUACCAAGGCAACGAUGCAUAGCCGACCUGAGAGGGUGAUCGGCCACACUGGAACUGAGACACGGUCCAGACUCCUACGGGAGGCAGCAGUAGGGAAUCUUCCGCAAUGGGCGAAAGCCUGACGGAGCAACGCCGCGUGAGUGAUGAAGGUCUUCGGAUCGUAAAACUCUGUUAUUAGGGAAGAACAUAUGUGUAAGUAACUGUGCACAUCUUGACGGUACCUAAUCAGAAAGCCACGGCUAACUACGUG
rnacentral:rRNA from 1 species